AACGAACGCUGGCGGCAGGCUUAACACAUGCAAGUCGAACGCGUGCAGCAAUGCACGAGUGGCGCACGGGUGAGUAACGAGUGGAUAUCUGCCUUUUGGUUCGGAAUAACCCCGGGAAACUGGGGCUAAUACCGGAUGGUUCCUACGGGAUAAAGAUUUAUCGCCAAAAGAUGAGUCCGCGUCCGAUUAGCUAGUUGGUGAGGUAAUGGCUCACCAAGGCGACGAUCGGUAGCUGGUCUGAGAGGACGAUCAGCCACACUGGGACUGAGACACGGCCCAGACUCCUACGGGAGGCAGCAGUGGGGAAUAUUGGACAAUGGGGGCAACCCUGAUCCAGCCAUGCCGCGUGAGUGAUGAAGGCCUUCGGGUUGUAAAGCUCUUUUGGCGGGGACGAUGAUGACGGUACCCGCAGAACAAGCCCCGGCUAACUUCGUG
rnacentral:rRNA from 1 species